AGACUGCUCUGCCCAUGACUGGAGAACUACCUACAACACAGAUUUCAAGCGCAGGCCAGCCUGUGGUGGACACUGUAAAGGACAUAUGAACCUUUCUCACAUUUUCCUCAAAGAUGUGCUCCACAAGAACCACUGGAUAUCCGAGUACAAUGAUGCCUAUAGCAUUUUCUUGCGGAGGCUGAGAUGGUCAUCUGAGAUCUCUGCUAUGGGGCUGUGCUCUGGGAAAGGGAUUGAGAUGGACGCAGCCCAGUGACUGGUGCUGCAGGUGACCAUGCUCCUUGUGCCCCAAAGCUGUCUGUGUGAUACCGUCCAUCAGAGGUCCUGAAAGCCUGAAAACCUCCUCUCUUUCUUGCAAACCACCACCGUGUCUAUCAGAUGUGAAAUGUUUGUCAGAGGUCUUUUGAAGCACAUAUUAUUAAAAUCUUCUCAGAACCCCAGCUUUUUUCAUUGCCAGAAAAGGCUUUUUUUUGGG